rnacentral:ncRNA from 1 species
UAGCACGCGGAGGUCUCGUUCGUUAACGGAAUUAACCAGACAAAUCACUCCACCAAGUUGCCCUUAGAUGUUCUGGGCCGCACGCACGCUACACUGAUGCGUUCAACGAGUAUACAACCUUGAUCGACAGGUCUGGGUAAUCUUGUGAAUGCGCAUCGUGCUAGGGAUAGACUGUUGCAAUUUUCAGUCUUGAACGAGGAAUUCCUAGUAAACGCAAGUCAUCAGCUUGCAUUGAUUACGUCCCUG